GUUGUAUUUUCUUUUGACGCCGUCGCCCUGUCUGUCGGAUUAUUUGCGGUUUUAUGCAGUUAGUUUCGGUCGUGGGCUUGGACUUUUUAUCGGCGGAACUGCACAAGUGCCGAGCCUGACAUUGCGGUCAUCACGUUUUCUUAGAUAGCGCGCCAAGGAUUGCCAACGAAUCAUUCCGUUUUAUUCAUCCUUGUCGAUCCUGGCACGUUCGUUGCACGACCAAAGGGUGCCGGCUGCUCUUUUGACUUCCUUAUCGCUUAUAUAAUGUUCGACUUGCUAUGCUGAUAGUUUGGCAUUCUCCGCCGUGUAGCCAAUGGUGUUUUUAUGUUGUCUGC
rnacentral:lncRNA from 1 species